GAUUGUGUUACUUGUUCAGCAACUCAUCAAGUCAACAAUAGAAUGAAACUCAUCCUCUAUAAGAAGUUGAUCAAUGGCUAAAUAUAAUAUUUCCUGUCUGCCUUACAGACGCUUUAGUCAAGGUGUGCAUUACCUGUCCUGGAGCUUUACCUGAUGCUGGGAGACUUGUCUGCUUUCCUGCUGUCUGACAGGCUGAGACAGAAAAGGGAUGUGAAUUGGCUGGACCAAAGGUUCUUCCCACACCUGUCUGAGCUCUCUGACCUCACCUACCUUUCCCCACUGGGAGACAACCCGGGAUUGGGAAGACCGCCAUCCCAAGUCUGCCAUCUUCCUCGCCCCUCUGUAACACAUCCCUAACCCCAUGGAACAUAUCUCCGUCCAUCAUCACAACCACCACCGCCCCAAACCCAAGGACAAGAGGAGGAAGGCAACAAUUCCUCUCGAUUCUAUUGGAAGCGCCUUUAUGUCCAACCAGCAGAGCGGAAAGGAUGAACCAGAAGACUACUGGGAAUAUUUAACUGAAUGAAGAAGCAACACUAACUGGUUCCAACUCCUUCAACCUCAUCCAAUGCUAACUUUACUGUCCAAAUCAGAAUUCAAUGUAAAGGUUAGUUGGUUGUUUUGUAAAGAUGAAUUCCCACAAACAUGUUUGACGGCAUAUGUACUAGUGUACUAACCUGCUUAGAUGUUAGGGACUGAUCACCCUCUAGUGGUUGUGUAAGUAUGUACAAUGACAAACAUCCUGUGUGCCUAACUUAAAUAUAAUGCAUUCCUUAUAAUA